CUCAAGAAGGCUUUGGCUUAGUUCAGCUGCUCACCCGUGCAUGGUCUUCAUCCCAGGUUCUUUGAUCCAUGGAAGGUGCAAGGCUUAAGUUAGUCAAGAGAACAUCUCCAACACCCUGGAGGAGAUGGAGUCACGCUCAAGUCCUGACACUUUCUGGGCUGGGACAGAACAAGAGGAGGACAGAGUCUUCUUAUCAUGGACUAUCCGGAGAUCCUGCAACCCCCCUCAGUUUGACAGGAAUAUAUUAAGGAGCAAAUUGAGAGCAGCUUCCUGCAGUCAAGAAGCAUAUUCGCUCACAGUUCAUUUAUCUCUGUCUGUA